UCCCAAAUUGCGUGAGGAAGGAUCUCCUAAAAUGCCACUGCAAUGUGCACGUGUUAUAAGGAUGGUUCGAGAUGGCUAUUUCGGCUUUAAAGACUAUUUUCAAUCUCUAUGUGAUACUGUGGACGGUGGUAAAGACUUCUAUUUGCUUGGUUCUGAUUUU